AUGGAUGAAGCUAAGUUUCUUCUAGGAAUGCUGGGUUUUCCAGCUCUCAUUCUGUGCAGUGCUUAGCCCUGUGCAGGAUCACUCCACAGCAUUCAAAAGAUAACCUCCCAAAAUCAUGGUCAAGUUUCACCUAUUUUUUUCAUGGAUGAUAAAAUUUGAAAAUCUCACCCUUCUCCUUAUAACACGGAUAUUCCAAAUAUGAAGAGAAAUGAAUAUCACCGGUUUGCAAUCAGGAUGGUCCCUGUCAUACAGAUACCUUUUCUUGCUGCCAGUAACUAGGGAGGUUUGUGAUGAUUGUAAGUUUCCAGAAGGUAAACAGGGCCAAGAAAUAGAAGGAAAAUACAAUUCAGGAUAUAUGUUUCGUUCAUGUGUGCAGUGAGUGAAGAUUAUGCUGUGGCCAGAAAG
rnacentral:lncRNA from 1 species